UGGGGAAUAUUGGGCAAUGGGGGGAACCCUGACCCAGCAACGCCGCGUGAAGGAAGACGGUUUUCGGAUUGUAAACCUCUGUCCUUGGUGAAGAAAGAAAUGACGGUAGCCGAGGAGGAAGCCACGGCUAACUACGUGCCAGCAGCCGCGGUAAUACGUAGGUGGCGAGUGUUGUCCGGAAUUACUGGGUGUAAAGGGAGCGUAGGCGGGUCGGCAAGUCAGUGGUGAAAUACAUGGGCUUAACCCAUGAAUUGCCAUUGAAACUGCCGGUCUUGAGUGGAUCAGAGGCAAGCGGAAUUCCGAGUGUAGCGGUGAAAUGCGUAGAUAUUCGGAGGAACACCAGUGGCGAAGGCGGCUUGCUGGGGUCUAACUGACGCUGAGGCUCGAAAGUGUGGGGAGCAAACAGG
rnacentral:rRNA from 2 species